rnacentral:rRNA from 1 species
GACAGUAGUCUAUUAUCUUCAAUGUGGGGGUGAGGUUGGAUUGAAAAACUGGUUAAGGCGAGCUUUGCGUCCCGUCUCUUUGGUUGAAGAGAUGGGAACGAGUUCACACCUCCUGUUUCGGAAAAGACCCCCCGAGGAAAUGAGAGAGAUGACAAAGCCACAGGCGGCAAUUUCGCCGCCGCUCGUGCCGGAUUGCGGGCGAACACCCCGGCUACCGGCGCUGCUCUUUUCCCGUGCUCUUGUGGAUUUCCACUUUUUACUCUUUUUCUUCUGAUGCGCUAAGGGUGCUUUGGUGCACCCGACAAAAAAUGCGGAUAACUUUUAACAAUGGAUCUCUUGGCUCUCGCAUCGAUGAAGGACGCAGCGAAAUGCGAUAGGUAGUGUGAAUUGCAGAAUUCAGUGAAUCAUCGAAUCUUUGAACGCACAUUGCGCCCUCUGGUUAUCCCAGAGGGCACUCUUGUUUGAAGCCCCGGAAAGGACGGUCGCUUUGCGGCCAGGUUGCUGGACGUGCAAAAGUUUGGGGGUCAUUCCGGAACAGCGUUGAGGCCUUCCUCCGCAUCCAAGUCUGACAAACCCGAGCAGCUCCCGGGAGAAGGGUCCGCGAGGGAAUGCGGUUUCCCGCGUUUUUUUUUCGCGUCUGAACGUGUGUGCUUCCGUUCACACGAUCCCCCCGGUGAUUCCAGGCCCAACAGGCACGCCGUCGUAAUGAGCAUCGACGGUGUACAUUGGUAUUAUACGUAUCAAGUCAAACGACAAUACCUAUAAUACUAAUGUAUAUAACUAUAUUACGUGUUCUCAUGCGGCCCGGUCGUCCCAAAUGUAUCCCUCUACGUCGCCGGUGAAUAGCGCUCCCUCUGUUACCUCUUUCUGUUGCUUUUCUGCGCGUUUGGUGCUUUCGUUAGGGUGUACUAUAUGUGCUUUUUAGUAUAUAGAAGGUUGGUGUCGCUUUGCAGUUUCUUAGGUAGUUAGAGAUUUCAGAACGACAGGGAGCGGAAGUAGCCACAUGGCAAAAAAUGACGUUCAGGCCAAUUUUAUUUCACCAGAAUGGAAGGGGGUUUCAAAUCAAGAGGGAUUACCCGCUGAACUUAAGCAUAUCAUAAGCGGAAGAAAGGAUCAGGCAUCAAUGAUUGUCCGAAUGUGCGCGCAGAGUUUUGUAUCGUU